GGAGCUUGCUCCUUUGACGUUAGCGGCGGACGGGUGAGUAACACGUGGGUAACCUACCUAUAAGACUGGGAUAACUUCGGGAAACCGGAGCUAAUACCGGAUAACAUUUGGAACCGCAUGGUUCUAAAGUGAAAGAUGGUUUUGCUAUCACUUAUAGAUGGACCCGCGCCGUAUUAGCUAGUUGGUAAGGUAACGGCUUACCAAGGCGACGAUACGUAGCCGACCUGAGAGGGUGAUCGGCCACACUGGAACUGAGACACGGUCCAGACUCCUACGGGAGGCAGCAGUAGGGAAUCUUCCGCAAUGGGCGAAAGCCUGACGGAGCAACGCCGCGUGAGUGAUGAAGGGUUUCGGCUCGUAAAACUCUGUUAUUAGGGAAGAACAAAUGUGUAAGUAACUGUGCANNNCUUGACGGUACCUAAUCAGAAAGCCACGGCUAACUACGUGCCAGC
rnacentral:rRNA from 1 species